UACGUAGGGUGCAAGCGUUAAUCGGAAUUACUGGGCGUAAAGCGUGCGCAGGCGGUGAUGUAAGACAGAUGUGAAAUCCCCGGGCUCAACUUGGGAACUGCAUUUGUGACUGCAUCGCUGGAGUGCGGCAGAGGGGGAUGGAAUUCCGCGUGUAGCAGUGAAAUGCGUAGAUAUGCGGAGGAACACCGAUGGCGAAGGCAAUCCCCUGGGCCUGCACUGACGCUCAUGCACGAAAGCGUGGGGAGCAAACAG
rnacentral:rRNA from 1 species